rnacentral:rRNA from 1 species
UACGGAAGGGGCAAGCGUUGUUCGGAAUCAUUGGGCGUAAAGGGCGCGUAGGUGGUUCUGUAUGUCUACCGUGAAAGCGUACGGCUCAACCGUAUUUUGUCGGUAGAAACUGCAGGACUUGAGGCUGGGAGGGGCUGGUGGAAUUCCCUGUGUAGCGGUGAAAUGCGUAGAGAUGGGGGAGAACACUUGUGGCGAAGGCGGCCAGCUAGACCAGUUCUGACACUGAGGCGCGACAGCGUGGGGAGCAAACAGG